rnacentral:sRNA from 1 species
UUGCGCAACCAAUACUUAUUUGAGCAAUGUUAGCAAUCAUUUACUCGCCGCAUCACCGUACUAUUUACCUCAGUUUCAAGGCCCGGACGACAUGUCCACGCCGCCUCACUCAAUCAGGUGAGCGGCCUCCGCCGAUCCAACAGGGUCGUCACGGCACCCGGGUCCGCACUGUCCAACCAGACGGGCGAUAAGGGCGGCGACACAAUUGCCAGCACAGGACAGCAUUCCCGAAGGGAGGCCCAAGGCCUCCCU